rnacentral:rRNA from 1 species
AAGGUUGGGGUACCAUCCCUCAAAGUCUAAAAUUUUUAAUAUUUGAUAGUGUAAUAGUACUGUGAAGGAAAGGUGAAAUAGAAUCCGAGGAUUUGAAAAGAUUUUGAAAUUUAAUGUUAACAAUCUGUUGAAGCUUUUUAAAAGUGACAGCGUACCUUUUGUAUAAUGGAUCAACAACUUUAUUAAAGUGGCGAGCUUAAACAGUCAAUGUGUAGGCUUAAAAAAAUUAAGUUUUAAAAUGCAUUUAAGUCUCUUUAAUAAGACCCGAAACUAAGUGAUCUAUUCAUGAACAGGUUGAAUUUAAGGCGUAAGCCUAUUGGAAGACCGAACCUGUGUGUGUGGCAAAAUACUUGGAUGAUUUGUGAAUAGGGGUGAAAGGCCAAUCAAACUUAGAAAUAGCUGGUUUUCUGCGAAAUCUAUUUAAGUAGAACGUUUAAAAACAUUAUUUUGGGGUAGAGCUCUUAAUAAAUGAUGGGGAGGAAAAAUCUUACUGAAUUUACUAAAACUUCGAAUACAUAAUAAUAGGUUUUUAAGCAGACAGACUAUAAGUGCUAAGAUUUAUAGUCGAAAGGGAAACAGCCCAGAUUAAUUGUUAAGGUUCUUAAAAAUAAUUAAGUGCGAAAAAAAAGAAAAAUAAAAACAACCGAAAAGUAGGCUUGGAAGCAGCCAUCUUUUAAAGAA